rnacentral:tRNA from 1 species
GGCCGUGUGCCCGAGUGGCCCAGGGGUUCGAUCGCAAAUCGAAUGACGCGGGUUCGAUUCCCGCCACGGCCUCCG